GGGAAACGCGGGCCCCGCCGCCGAAUGGGGAAGGCAGGAGUGCGGUGGGCACACAGCCUAGGCCAGGGCUUCGAGGCCUAACUGCUCCUCAGAUCAUAAACCACAGUACCAGACACUUGUGGGGCGAUAAGAAGUCCAAGACACGACCAGGAUGAGUUCCUUAGGGGCCAGCCCUAGAACCACUUAGGAAUGACGGCACAUUAAGCAAUUACCUAGUGCUAGGUGCUUUGGGAGAAAGACAGAUGAAAAGAGGCGGGUCCUCCUGUUAAGAAAAAUGUUGGUUUCCAUCUUCCCUGAUGCUCCUUGAGUGCCUCUCAGCCCCGUGGGCUCCUGAGUGAUGUGCGCGUUUAGAGGGAUCCCCAGGUGUACCUCAGGCUUGCUGGACAUAUGAAACCCGGGGGGUUGAAGAACUCUUUAAGAGCCACGAGCCACGCAGUACUGCUGUCUGGUGAACCAAGAGCAGGAAGCAUCUGUUGGAGUAGAAAGAAUUGAAAGUAGACGAGGAGGAGCUCUUUCUGCCCCUCACAGAACUAUGUUAGAUACUAAAGAAGGCUUCCCCACAAUCCAUAUGCAUCUGCUUUGACUGGUGGUUUCUAUCAACCUACAAAGACUGACUUAUUGGUGAGGGCAGCUGGACAACUCUGAGAUCAACUUAGAGAAAUCCAUCUUGGGCACACUCUAUAAAGGAGCUCCUUCUCUGGAAAUAGCACCCCAGAUAAGUGCACAAAAGCAAGACACCCUCGUGGACCUACUUCCUCCCGCUUUCAACACCCUGAUGCCUGAAGCUAUACUUGAUACUAAAGGAGGUUUUCGCACAUGUGCAUCUUCUGUAUUUUGAAAUUGCAACUAUGGACAGUUAUGGCUAAUCCUAGUAGAUUGUCUUCCCUUCUUUUAACAUCUUGGAUGAAUUUGGGGCACACUAAUGUGUUAUGUGAAGAUGGAUGUUGAAUUGUGUAGAAUUUGACAGCAGUAUCAAGAGCUGAUGAGGAGGAGAAGAUGGAAAGGAGUCUAGCAACUUAAAAAAAUCUCAUAGCGUUCUCUGUGAGGUGACCUUUUUCCUGUUGGUGGCUCAAUUUAUUUAGGAAAUAAAGAAGAUACUAAGGCCUGUAACAGUAUCAUCAUGUCAUA